GACGAACGCUGGCGGCGUGCUUAACACAUGCAAAUCGAGCGAAGUGGCGAACGGGUGAGUAAUACGUGGGUAACCUGCCAUCCUUUUUGGGAUAAGCCUUGGAAACGGGGUCUAAUACUGAAUAGAGGGGGAUGGGCUCGCGGCCUAUCAGCUUGUUGGUGGGGUAAUGGCCUACAAAGGCGGCGACGGGUAGCCGGCCUGAGAGGGUGGACGGCCACAUGGGGACUGAGCCACGGACCAGACUCCUACUGGAGGCAGUGGUGGGGAAGAUUGCACAAUGUGCGGAAGCCUGCUGCAGCGACGCCGCGUGUGGGAUGACGGCCUUCGGGUUGUAAACUCCUUUCACCAUCGACGCGGUAGAUGGAGAAGAAGCACCGGCUAACUACGUGCCAGCAGCCGCGGUAAUUC
rnacentral:rRNA from 1 species